CCAGUCCCAGACUUUGUUAGACUUUUGAUGACUGCAGCGCCACGCAGCGCGUUCUUAAUAAAGAGUCCUGCUGAAGAUAUCCAAGAGUCUCCUGGU